GAUGAACGCUGGCGGCGUGCUUAACACAUGCAAGUCGAACGGUGAAGCAGAGCUUGCUCUGUGGAUCAGUGGCGAACGGGUGAGUAACACGUGAGCAACCUGCCCCUGACUCUGGGAUAAGCGCUGGAAACGGCGUCUAAUACCGGAUAUGAGCUGCGAUCGCAUGGUCAGCAGUUGGAAAGAUUUUUCGGUCUGGGAUGGGCUCACGGCCUAUCAGCUUGUUGGUGAGGUAAUGGCUCACCAAGGCGUCGACGGGUAGGCGGCCUGAGAGGGUGACCGGCCACACUGGGACUGGGACACGGCCCAGACUCCUACGGGAGGCAGCAGUGGGGAAUAUUGCACAAUGGGCGAAAGCCUGAUGCAGCAACGCCGCGUGAGGGAUGACGGCCUUCGGGUUGUAAACCUCUUUUAGCAGGGAAGAAGCGAAAGUGACGGUACCUGCAGAAAAAGCGCCGGCUAACUACGUGCCAGCAGCCGCCGUAAGAC
rnacentral:rRNA from 1 species